GAUGAACGCUGGCGGCGUGCCUAACACAUGCAAGUCGAGCGAUUCUCUUCGGAGAAGAGCGGCGGACGGGUGAGUAACGCGUGGGUAACCUGCCCUGUACACACGGAUAACAUACCGAAAGGUAUGCUAAUACGAGAUAAUAUGCUUUUAUCGCAUGGUAGAAGUAUCAAAGUUUUUGCGGUACAGGAUGGACCCGCGUCUGAUUAGCUAGUUGGUAAGGUAACGGCUUACCAAGGCGACGAUCAGUAGCCGACCUGAGAGGGUGAUCGGCCACAUUGGAACUGAGACACGGUCCAAACUCCUACGGGAGGCAGCAGUGGGGAAUAUUGCACAAUGGGCGAAAGCCUGAUGCAGCAACGCCGCGUGAGCGAUGAAGGCCUUCGGUCGUAAGACUCUGU
rnacentral:rRNA from 1 species